GAAUCUCGAAAGCCCGUCUCAGUUCGGAUUGAGGCUGAAACCCGCCUCCAUGAAGUUGGAUUCGCUAGUAAUCGCGCAUCAGCCAUGGCGCGGUGAAUACGUUCCCGGGCCUUGUACACACCGCCCGUCAAGCCAUGGGAGCCGGGGGUGCCUGAAGUUCGUGACCGCAAGGAGCGACCUAGGGCAAAACUGGUGACUGGGGCUAAGUCGUAACAAGGUACC
rnacentral:rRNA from 1 species